AUUUAUUUGACCGUGGUAUUACAUAUAUAUUGUUGACAGAGCAACUACACUAUCAACUAAACUCCGUUCAGAAUCGUUUUUCCGGCAGAAACUGUUUAUCGCUGCUUACGCUCGUACAUUAAAUUACCUAUUGCCAGUGGCUGCACCCGUCCCCAUUACCUUGGGACGUCUCUUUUUAUACGUUUUUUACUUUUUCACAAGACCCCUCUUG